GAGAGAUGGCCGAGCGGUUGAAGGCGCUGGUCUUGAAAACCAGUGAUGCUGAAAGGCACCGGGGGUUCGAAUCCCUCUCUCUCC
rnacentral:tRNA from 1 species